rnacentral:rRNA from 1 species
CAAUACCACGUGAGGGAAGACUGCCUAUGGGUUGUAAACCUCUUUUCUCAGGGAGGAAAUCAAUGACGUUACCUGAGGAAUAAGCAUCGGCUAACUCCGUGCCAGCAGCCGCGGUAAGACGGAGGAUGCAAGUGUUAUCCGGAAUCACUGGGCGUAAAGCGUCUGUAGGUGGCUUAGCAAGUCAACUGUUAAAUCUUGAAGCUCAACUUCGAAAUCGCAGUCGAAACUGUUAGGCUAGAGUAUAGUAGGGGUAAAGGGAAUUUCCAGUGGAGCGGUGAAAUGCGUAGAGAUUGGAAAGAACACCGAUGGCGAAGGCACUUUACUGGGCUAUUACUGACACUCAGAGACGAAAGCUAGGGUAGCAAAUGGGAUUAGAUACCCCAGUAGUCCUAGCCGUAAACAAUGGAUACUAGAUGUUGGGCAGAUCGACCUGUUCAGUAUUAAAGCUAACGCGUUAAGUAUCCCGCCUGGGAAGUAUGCGCGCAAGCGUGAAACUC